UACAGAGGGUGCGAGCGUUAAUCGGAUUUACUGGGCGUAAAGGGCGCGUAGGCGGUAGAUUAAGUUAGAUGUGAAAUCCCUGGGCUUAACCUAGGAACUGCGUCUAAUACUGGUUUACUAGAGUAUUGUAGAGGGUAGUGGAAUUUCCGGUGUAGCGGUGAAAUGCGUAGAGAUCGGAAGGAACACCAGUGGCGAAGGCGACUCUCUGGUCUGUAACUGACGCUGAGGCGCGAAAGCGUGGGGAGCAAACAGG
rnacentral:rRNA from 1 species